GCAGUCGAACGAUGAAGCCUUUCGGGGUGGAUUAGUGGCGAACGGGUGAGUAACACGUGGGCAAUCUGCCCUUCACUCUGGGACAAGCCCUGGAAACGGGGUCUAAUACCGGAUAAUACUCUGUCCUGCAUGGGACGGGGUUGAAAGCUCCGGCGGUGAAGGAUGAGCCCGCGGCCUAUCAGCUUGUUGGUGGGGUAAUGGCCUACCAAGGCGACGACGGGUAGCCGGCCUGAGAGGGCGACCGGCCACACUGGGACUGAGACACGGCCCAGACUCCUACGGGAGGCAGCAGUGGGGAAUAUUGCACAAUGGGCGAAAGCCUGAUGCAGCGACGCCGCGUGAGGGAUGACGGCCUUCGGGUUGUAAACCUCUUUCAGCAGGGAAGAAGCGCAAGUGACGGUACCUGCAGAAGAAGCGCCGGCUAACUACGUGCCAGCAGCCGCGGUAAUACGUAGGGCGCAAGCGUUGUCCGGAAUUAUUGGGCGUAAAGAGCUCGUAGGCGGCUUGUCACGUCGGAUGUGAAAGCCCGGGGCUUAACCCCGGGUCUGCAUUCGAUACGGGCUAGCUAGAGUGUGGUAGGGGAGAUCGGAAUUCCUGGUGUAGCGGUGAAAUGCGCAGAUAUC
rnacentral:rRNA from 1 species